CUACGUGCCAGCAGCCGCGGUAAUACGUAGGGCGCGAGCGUUGUCCGGAAUUAUUGGGCGUAAAGAGCUUGUAGGCGGUUGGUCGCGUCUGCUGUGAAAGGCUGGGGCUUAACCCUGGUUUUGCAGUGGGUACGGGCUAACUAGAGUGCAGUAGGGGAGACUGGAAUUCCUGGUGUAGCGGUGGAAUGCGCAGAUAUCAGGAGGAACACCGAUGGCGAAGGCAGGUCUCUGGGCUGUAACUGACGCUGAGAAGCGAAAGCAUGGGGAGCGAACAGGAUUAGAUACCCUGGUAGUCCAUGCCGUAAACGUUGGGCACUAGGUGUGGGGGACAUUCCACGUUUUCCGCGCCGUAGCUAACGCAUUAAGUGCCCCGCCUGGGGAGUACGGCCGCAAGGCUAAAACUCAAAGAAAUUGACGGGGGCCCGCACAAGCGGCGGAGCAUGCGGAUUAAUUCGAUGCAACGCGAAGAACCUUACCAAGGCUU
rnacentral:rRNA from 1 species